AUUGAACGCUGGCGGCAUGCCUUACACAUGCAAGUCGAACGGCAGCAUGAUCUAGCUUGCUCGAUUGAUGGCGAGUGGCGAACGGGUGAGUAAUACAUCGGAACGUGCCCUGUAGUGGGGGAUAACUAGUCGAAAGAUUAGCUAAUACCGCAUACGACCUGAGGGUGAAAGUGGGGGACCGCAAGGCCUCAUGCUAUAGGAGCGGCCGAUGUCUGAUUAGCUAGUUGGUGAGGUAAAGGCUCACCAAGGCGACGAUCAGUAGCUGGUCUGAGAGGACGAUCAGCCACACUGGGACUGAGGCACGGCCCAGACUCCUACGGGAGGCAGCAGUGGGGAAUUUUGGACAAUGGGCGAAAGCCUGAUCCAGCAAUGCCGCGUGUGUGAAGAAGGCCUUCGGGUUGUAAAGCACUUUUGUCCGGAAAGAAAUGGCUCUGGUUAAUACCUGGGGUCGAUGACGGUACCGGAAGAAUAAGGACCGGCUAACUACGUG
rnacentral:rRNA from 1 species